rfam:Rhodopseudomonas palustris BisB18, complete genome.
GCGGGUGUAGCUCAGUGGUAGAGCACGACCUUGCCAAGGUCGGGGUCGAGGGUUCGAAUCCCUUCGCCCGCU